UAUACAGCGAAACUGCGAAUGGCUCAUUAUAUAAGUUAUCGUUUAUUUGAUAGUGCCUUACUACUUGGAUAACCGUGGUAAUUCUAGAGCUAAUACAUGCUAAAAACCCCGACUUCGGAAGGGGUGUAUUUAUUAGAUACAAAACCAAUGCCCUUCGGGGCUCUUUGGUGAUUCAUGAUAACUAUACGAAUCGCACGGCCUUGCGCCGGCGAUGGUUCAUUCAAAUUUCUUCCCUAUCAACUUUCGAUGUUUGGGUAUUGGCCAAACAUGGUUGCAACGGGUAACGGAGGGUUAGGGCUCGACCCCGGAGAAGGAGCCUGAGAAACGGCUACUACAUCCAAGGAAGGCAGCAGGCGCGCAAAUUACCCAAUCCCGACUCGGGGAGGCAGUGACAAUAAAUACUGAUACAGGGCCCUUUCGGGCCUUGUAAUUGGAAUGAGUACAAUUUAAAUCCCUUAACGAGGAACAAUUGGAGGGCAAGUCUGGUGCCAGCAGCCGCGGUAAUUCCAGCUCCAAUAGCGUAUAU
rnacentral:rRNA from 1 species